GUAGGUGGCAAGCGUUGUCCGGAAUUAUUGGGCGUAAAGCGCGCGCAGGCGGUUCUUUAAGUCUGAUGUGAAAGCCCACGGCUCAACCGUGGAGGGUCAUUGGAAACUGGAGAACUUGAGUACAGAAGAGGAAAGCGGAAUUCCACGUGUAGCGGUGAAAUGCGUAGGGAUGUGGAGGAACACCAGUGGCGAAGGCGGCUUUCUGGUCUGUAACUGACGCUGAGGCGCGAAAGCGUGGGGAGCAAACAGGGAUUAGAUACCCUGGUAGUCCACGCCGUAAACGAUGAGUGCUAAGUGUUAGGGGGUUUCCGCCCCCUUAGUGCUGCAGCUAACGCAUUAAGCACUCCGCCUGGGGAGUACGGCCGCAAGGCUG
rnacentral:rRNA from 1 species